rnacentral:rRNA from 1 species
GACGAACGCUGGCGGCGUGCUUAACACAUGCAAGUCGAACGGAAAGGCCCUGCUUUUGUGGGGUGCUCGAGUGGCGAACGGGUGAGUAACACGUGAGUAACCUGCCCUUGACUUUGGGAUAACUUCAGGAAACUGGGGCUAAUACCGGAUAGGAGCUCCUGCUGCAUGGUGGGGGUUGGAAAGUUUCGGCGGUUGGGGAUGGACUCGCGGCUUAUCAGCUUGUUGGUGGGGUAGUGGCUUACCAAGGCUUUGACGGGUAGCCGGCCUGAGAGGGUGACCGGCCACAUUGGGACUGAGAUACGGCCCAGAAUCCUACGGGGGGCAGCAGUGGGGAAUAUUGCACAAUGGGCGGAAGCCUGAUGCAGCAACGCCGCGUGCGGGAUGACGGCCCUCGGGUUGUAAACCGCUUUCGCCUGUGACGAAGCGUGAGUGACGGUAAUGGGUAAAGAAGCACCGGCUAACUACGUG